UCGGGAAUAUUGCGCAAUGGAGGAAACUCUGACGCAGUGACGCCGCGUGCAGGAAGAAGGUUUUCGGAUUGUAAACUGCUUUAGACAGGGAAGAAAAAGACAGUACCUGUAGAAUAAGCUCCGGCUAACUACGUGCCAGCAGCCGCGGUAAUACGUAGGUGGCAAGCGUUGUCCGGAUUUACUGGGUGUAGAGGGCGCGUAGGCGGGUAGGCAAGUCAGAUGUGAAAUCUCCGGGCUCAACCCGGAAACUGCAUUUGAAACUGUCUAUCUUGAGUAUCGGAGAGGCAAGCGGAAUUCCGUGCGUAGCGGUGAAAUGCGUAGAUAUUAGGAGGAACACCAGUGGCGAAGGCGGCCUGCUUGGCUUUAACUGACGCUGAUGCACGAAAGCAUGGGGAGCAAA
rnacentral:rRNA from 1 species